UACGGAGGGUGCAAGCGUUAUCCGGAUUCACUGGGUUUAAAGGGUGCGUAGGCGGGUUGGUAAGUCCGUGGUGAAAUCUCCGAGCUUAACUCGGAAACUGCCGUGGAUACUAUCAAUCUUGAAUAUCGUGGAGGUAAGCGGAAUAUGUCAUGUAGCGGUGAAAUGCUUAGAUAUGACAUAGGACACCAAUUGCGUAGGCAGCUUACUACACGAUCAUUGACGCUGAGGCACGAAAGCGUGGGGAGCAAACAGG
rnacentral:rRNA from 1 species